UACGGAGGGUGCGAGCGUUGUCCGGAAUCAUUGGGCGUAAAGGGCGCGUAGGUGGCCCGCUCAGCGUGCGGUGAAAGCUCGGGGCUCAACCCCGGGUCGGCCGUGCGAACUGGUGGGCUGGAGCACUGUAGAGGCAGGCGGAAUUCCGGGUGUAGCGGUGGAAUGCGUAGAGAUCCGGAAGAACACCGGUGGCGAAGGCGGCCUGCUGGGCAGUUGCUGACACUGAGGCGCGACAGCGUGGGGAGCAAACAGG
rnacentral:rRNA from 1 species